CCUACGGGAGGCAGCAGUGGGGAAUUUUGGACAAUGGGCGCAAGCCUGAUCCAGCAAUGCCGCGUGAGUGAAGAAGGCCUUCGGGUUGUAAAGCUCUUUUGUCAGGGAAGAAACGGUGGGGGCUAAUAUCUCCUACUAAUGACGGUACCUGAAGAAUAAGCACCGGCUAACUACGUGCCAGCAGCCGCGGUAAUACGUAGGGUGCAAGCGUUAAUCGGAAUUACUGGGCGUAAAGCGUGCGCAGGCGGUUUUGUAAGUCUGUCGUGAAAGCCCCGGGCUCAACCUGGGAAUUGCGAUGGAGACUGCAAGGCUUGAAUCUGGCAGAGGGGGGUAGAAUUCCACGUGUAGCAGUGAAAUGCGUAGAGAUGUGGAGGAACACCGAUGGCGAAGGCAGCCCCCUGGGUCAAGAUUGACGCUCAUGCACGAAAGCGUGGGGAGCAAACAGGAUUAGAUACCCUGGUAGUCCACGCCCUAAACGAUGUCUACUAGUUGUCGGGUUUUAAUUAACUUGGUAACGCAGCUAACGCGUGAAGUAGACCGCCUGGGGAAGUCGGUCGCAAGNUUAAAACUCAAAUGAAUUGACCGGNNGAGAGNGCGAGACGACGACGAGGGAGGAGG
rnacentral:rRNA from 1 species